rnacentral:rRNA from 1 species
UACGUAGGGUGCAAGCGUUGUCCGGAAUUAUUGGGCGUAAAGAGCUCGUAGGCGGUCUGUCGCGUCGGUCGUGAAAACUUGGGGCUUAACCCUGAGCUUGCGGUCGAUACGGGCAUGACUGGAGUUCGGCAGGGGAGACUGGAAUUCCUGGUGUAGCGGUGAAAUGCGCAGAUAUCAGGAGGAACACCGGUGGCGAAGGCGGGUCUCUGGGCCGAUACUGACGCUAAGGAGCGAAAGCGUGGGGAGCGAACAGG